UGUCUUGCCGUUCAACAGGUUGUGAAGCGGGUGGGAGGUAUCGUUCAGUAUUGUCUUUAUUAUGGACAACGUUCUCCUCUCCACCACGUCAGAGAGUCCAGUUCCAUCCCACCACGUUACUGGCUUGUUUGUGUCUGCAACCCUCAGCCUGCUGCAGCAUGCAGCAGCAUAGAGGAUAGCACUGGCCACCACACACUCAUAAAACAUCCUGAGCAGCGUUUGGCAGAUGUUAAACCACCUUAGCCGCCUCAACAAAGAGAGACGCUCUGGCCCUUCUUGUAAAGUGCAGCGGUGUUCUUAACCCAGUCCAGUUUACUGUCAACAUGCACUCCAAGGUACCUGUAACCCUUCACCACUUCCUCAUUCACACCUGGACUGAAACAGGUGUCGCUGGUGUUCUGGAUCUCCUGAAAUCCACCAUCAGUUCCUGAGUCUUUGUCACAUCAAGCUGCAGAUGGUUCUGCUAUCACCAUGUGACAAAGGAGUCCACAGCAGCUGGAUCUUCCACCUCAUCUCCUCCCUGAAUCAUCCAGCUACAGCAGAGUCAUCAGAACCUUCUGAAGGCAGCAGGUCUCUGCAGGAGCUGCAGCCAGAUGUGUGGAGGGGGAACAGAAAGGGGGAGAGGACGGUCCCUUGUGGUGCUCCAGUGUUGCUGACCACCAUGUCCAACACACAGCUCUGCAGGCGCACAUACUGUGGUCCGGUCAGGUAGUCCACAAUCCAGGACACCAGAGAAUCCUCCACCUGCAUCGCUGUCAGCUUCUCACCAGGAGGGUCGGCCUGAUGGUGCUGAAUGUACUGGACAAGUCAAAAACACGAUCCUCACAGUGCUCGCCGGCUGGUCCAGGUGGGCGUAGACACGGUUGAGCAGGUAGACGACGGCGUCCUCAACUCCGAGACGAGGCUGGUACGUGAACUGAAGGGGGUCCAUAUGUGGUCUAACCAUGGGUCGGAGCUGAUCCAGUAUGAGUCUCUCAAGGGUCUUCAUGACAUGUGAAGUCAGUGCCACGGGUCUGUAGUCUUGGGGCCACUGGGACGUGGGGUCUUUGGUACAGGAAGGAGGCAU